UUAAUAAACAGGUUAAGCUUAAAGUUAAGAUUUUCAUUUACACUGAAAUUAUUUAUCGUGCGAUUCGAUAUAAUCUGAAAUUUAUAUAAUUGUAUUAAUUACAUUAAUAACAAAUUGUAAACUGAUUAAAAUAGAUUUAUGUUGAUGUAGAAUUGAUUGAGAUAAUUAUUUUUACUAUAAAGUAUUAGUACUGUAAGGGAAAUCAUGAAAUAUUUUUUAUAAUUAAUAGAAGUUAAUUUUAUUUAUUGUAUCUUGUGUAUCAGAGUAGAUUGAAAUAAAUUUUUUAAUUAAUUUUUCUCGAAGUUAAAAGAUUUAAUUAGAAAUGUUAAUUAAUGUUUCAAAAUUAUUAAGAAUUUCUAAUUGGUAAUGAAAUGUUAUUCGUUUUUAAGAAUAUCUAGUUUUUUAAUAAAUGAAUUUAAUUCAGAGUGCUUAAAUUAUAUAAUUUAUUGGUGAAAGUAUUUAUUUUGUGUACUUAAUUUUUAAGGGGAAAAACUCUUUAAAAUAUAAUUAUAAUAAUUGAUGAUUUAUAGAAUUUUGUGAAUUUAGAAUUUGUUAUUAAUUAAAGGGUGUUAAAACUUAAUUCUUGUCAUGUACAAUUAAACUUUUAUUUAAUUUUUUUAUUAAAAUGUAAAGUGGAAUUUAAAAACUUUAAUAAAAAUGAUUUAAUUAGUAAAACAAAAAUCAUGAAAUAGUUAAUAAUUUGGUAUUUUAAAAUAAGGAAUUAAGCAAAAUUUUUGCUCGCCUGUUUAUUAAAAACAUGGUUUCUUGUAAUAAUAAAUUAUAUAGGAAAUUUGACCUGCCCACUGAAAAAUUUAAAGGGCCGCAGUAUUUUGACUGUGCAAAGGUAGCAUAAUCAUUAGUCUUUUAAUUGAAGGCUGGAAUGAAUGGUUGGACGAGGUAAAAACUGUCUUAUUUUUGAUGAAAAAUUGAAUUUAACUUUUAAGUAAAAAUGCUUAAAUAUAAUUAAGGGACGAGAAGACCCUAUAGAGUUUAAUAUUCAUAGUAUUAAUUGAGUUUAAAAUUAAUUUUUAAUUAAUAUGAAGUUUAUUUAAUUGGGGUGAUUAGAAGAUAAAUUAAACUCUUCUUUGAUUUUAAUAAUAUAAAUAAUUUAAGGAUCCAUAAAUAAUGAUUAUAAGAUUAAAUUACCUUAGGGAUAACAGCAUAAUUCUUUUUGAGAGUUCUAAUCGAGAAAGGAGAUUGUGACCUCGAUGUUGGAUUAAGAUGAAUUAUGGGUGCAGGUAUUCAAUAAUUAAGUCUGUUCGACUUUUAAAUUCUUACAUGAUCUGAGUUUAAACCGGUGUAAGCCAGGUUGGUUUCUAUCUUUAAUAAAUUAAAAUAUUUUAGUACGAAAGGACCAAAUAUUUAGAAUAAUUUUUUAAAAAUUGAAU
rnacentral:rRNA from 1 species